rnacentral:rRNA from 1 species
AUCUAGUGGCGAACGGGUGAGGAUCACGUGAGAAACCUGCCCCAGACUCUGGGAUAACAAUUGGAAACGAUUGCUAAUACCGGAUGACGUCGGAGAACCGCAUGGUUCACUGACGAAAGAUAUUUCGGUUUGGGAGGGUCUCGCGGCCUAUCAGCUUGUUGGUGGGGUAAUGGCCUACCAAGUCGACGAUCGGUAGCUGGUCUGAGAGGACGAUCAGCCACACUGGGACUGAGACACGGCCCAGACUCC